GAUGAAGAACGUAGCGAAAUGCGAUACUUGGUGUGAAUUGCAGAAUCCCGUGAACCAUCGAGUCUUUGAACGCAAGUUGCGCCCGAAGCCAUUAGGCCGAGGGCACGCCUGCCUGGGCGUCACACGUCGUUGCCCCCCCAUCUACUCCUUCGGGAUUGCGGGGGGCGGAUGAUGGCCUCCCGUGCGCCUCGUCGCGCGGUUGGCAUAAAUACCAAGUCCUCGGCGACGCACGCCACGACAAUCGUUGGUUGCGAAACCUCGGUUGCCCGUCGUGUGCGGUCGUCGCGCAUCGAGGGCUCGAAAAAAUUGCCGGGCUCCGGCUCGGCUUUCAACGCGACCCCAGGUCAGGCGGGGUUACCCGCUGAAUUUAAGCAUAUCAAUAAGCGGAGGA
rnacentral:misc_RNA from 1 species